rnacentral:rRNA from 1 species
AUUGAACGCUGGCGGCAGGCCUAACACAUGCAAGUCGAACGAGCGGCGGACGGGUGAGUAAUGUAUGGGGAACUGCCCGAUAGAGGGGGAUAACUACUGGAAACGGUGGCUAAUACCGCAUACUAUCGGAUGAACCCAUAUGGGAUUAGCUAGUAGGUGGGGUAAAGGCUCACCUAGGCGACGGUCUCUAGCUGGUCUGAGAGGAUGACCAGCCACACUGGGACUGAGACACGGACCAGACUCCUACGGGAGGCAGCAGUGGGGAAUUUUGGACAAUGGGGGCAACCCUGAUCCAGCCAUGCCGCGUGUAUGAAGAAGGCCUUCGGGUUGUAAAGUACUUUUCGUAGGGAAGCGGUACCUAAAGAAUAAGCACCGGCUAACUACGUGCCAGCAGCCGCGGUAAUUC